rnacentral:rRNA from 1 species
ACGUAGGGUGCGAGCGUUAAUCGGAAUUACUGGGCGUAAAGCGUGCGCAGGCGGUUCGCUAAGUCAGGUGUGAAAUCCCCGGGCUCAACCUGGGAAUGGCGCUUGAGACUGGCGGGCUGGAGUGCGGCAGAGGGGAGUGGAAUUCCUGGUGUAGCAGUGAAAUGCGUAGAGAUGAGGAGGAACACCGAUGGCGAAGGCAGCUCCCUGGGCCGAUACUGACGCUCAUGCACGAAAGCGUGGGUAGCAAACAG